rnacentral:rRNA from 1 species
GACGAACGCUGGCGGCGUGCUUAACACAUGCAAGUCGAGCGGAGCGGCGAACGGGUGAGUAACGCGUGAGUAACUGCCCCCCUCUCUGGGAUAACAGUUGGAAACGGCUGCUAAUACCGGAUAGUGGGGGAUGACUCGCGUCCUAUCAGCUUGUUGGUGGGGUGGUGACCUACCAAGGCGACGACGGGUAGCCGGCCUGAGAGGGCGACCGGCCACAUUGGGCUGGGGUGCCGGCCAAACGCCUACGGGAGGCAGGAGUGGGGAAUAGUGCACAAUGGGGGAAACCCGGAAGCAGGAACGCCGCGUGCGGGAGGACUGUCUUCGGGUUGUAAACCGCUUUCAGCCAUGACGCGGUAGUGGAAGAAGAAGCACCGGCUAACUACGUGCCAGCAGCCGCGGUAAUAC